ACACUUAAGUUAUUCACCCUCGACCAAAACAUUUCAGAAUUCGCCCUCCUUUUGAAAAUGGAACAUCCCUCUCUCUCCCUCCUGAAAAUCGAAACCCUAAACUCUCUGAAUCUCCCUCAUUCUGAAAAUCGAAACCCUCAACUCUCUGAAUCUCCCUCCCAUUUGUUCUCUGUGGUCGUCACCGAGCUCGCCGACACAGGUCACUGUUUGCGACCCAUCUUUAGCCCCUUGGUUGUCGUCGUCUCCGAGCUCUGCCUCCAAUCUCAUAUCUCUAUUACAUAUCUGAAGCACCAUCUCCCCUCGUGCCAUCCACGUAAUGGAACUCGCCGAGAUCGCCAUCUCCCUUGCGCUAUCUAGGUCACCGAGCUCGCCCCAUCCAUCUCAUCGAGCUUGCCAAGCUCGCCAUCUCUCUAGUGGAUGAGAAGCGUGAGAAGAUGCUUCAAAUCUUUUACGACUCUCAAGAUUUCUUCCUUCUAAAGGAGCUUGAGAAGUCAGGCCCAAAGAAAGGUGUUAUUUCUCAAUCUGUAAAAGAUGUGAUCCAAAGUUUAGUGGAUGAUGACCUUGUUUUCAAAGACAAGAUAGGAACCUCUGUAAGUAGAUGUUUCCAUAUACAGCUUUGCAUCGUGGAUGAUGAUCAGUUUAGUUCAGUUAUUAGAGGUAGUAGAGAAGCCCAUGCUUUAUUAUGUUUGAAAUCUUGAUUUUUUUCGGACAACAAUAAUAAGCAAUUAGUCUUCAUAUCACUCUUUAAGCUUUCUGAUUCUGUUCUGUUCUGAAAUCCUGUGGGAGCGUCUUUUAAAUGUCUAUCUACAUAUUGUUACUAAAAUUGUUCUUUUUUUCUUUUGGC